UACGUAGGGGGGCAAGCGUUGUCCGGAUUUAUUGGGCGUAAAGCGCUCGCAGGUGGUUCGUCGCGUCGUGCGUGAAAGACCCCGGCUCAACUGGGGAGGGUCGUGCGAUACGGGCGGACUGGAGGCCAGUAGGGGGAUGCGGAAUUCCGGGUGUAGUGGUGGAAUGCGUAGAGAUCCGGAGGAACGACCGAGCGGCGAAGGCGGAGCA
rnacentral:rRNA from 1 species